CUCGGGCUGCAGGACGUCUCACCCGCUUUCGGCCUCUCCAGAGCCAGGCUCCGCGGCUGGAGCAGCAGACGUCCCCUCCCCGGCCGGAGCGGCUGCUACCGCUACUACCGGCUUCGUUUCCCCUUCUUCUGCCGGUGUUGCAUUUGCAGCCACUGCCGGGCCGGGUCCUGCAUUCACUCCCGGGCCGGGUACGGUUCCCGCCGCCGCCAUCACUGCCGCCUCCCAGACUUCUCGCGAGAAUACUGUCUGCGUCUCGCGCGAGUUGCUCACUGGCCCUCUAACCUUCAAAUAGUAAAGAUUCUCAUUCCAGCAAGGAGCCAGAACCUGUGCCAUCAACAUCCGGCAUGAGUGAAAUGGCAGCUCGCCCUCUGUCUCCUAUUGCUGAUGACCCUGUAGCUCUACCAUCGCUCACCUCCACUCCCUCCUCCAGUCGGUAACUCUUCUUUUUUUAAAAAUAAAUUUAUUUAUUUUAUGUAUUUAUUUUUGGCUGUGUUGGGUCUUCGUUGCUGCACGCAGGCUUUCUCUAGUUGCAUUGAGCAGGGGCUGCUCUUUGUUCCGGUGUGCGGGCUUCUCACUGCGGUGGCUUCUCUGGUUGCCGAGCAUGGGCUCUAGGCCCACGGGCUUCAGUAGUUGUGGCUUGCGGGCUUAGCUGCUCCGUGGCAUGAGGGAUCUUCCCGGACCAGGGCUCGAACCCAUGUCCCCUGCAUUGGCAGGCAGAUUCUUAACCACUGCGCCACCAGGGAAGCCCCUCAGUAACGCUUCUUGUCUGUUCAUUCAGCGCCAGCCUGUGUCCCAGCUGUUGUACUGCACUACUGUACUUUUCAGGAUACUGUACUGUGAGAUUAAAAAUGGUUUUUUAAUUUUUUGUUUGCUUUUUAUGUAUUAUUUGUGUGAAAAGUAUUAUAAACCUAUUACAGUACAGCACUAUAUAGAUGAUUGUGUUAGUUGGGUACCUAGGCUAACUUUGUUGGACUUAUGAACAAAUUGGACUUACGAAUGCACUCUCAAAUGGAACUUGUUCGUAUGUAGGGGACUUACUGUAAUAAUGAUCUUAAGAGAACAAAAGGACAAACCUAUCAGGCAAGAGAAUUAACAAUGGCAACGAUAACAAAUCAGUCGUAGACUCCCAGUUCUACUUCAAUGGUAAAGACUAGCGGAAAGCACUGUCUUGAGCUAUUUUGCAGAAUUUAAAUCCCUCCUCAAGUGCUCAAUCACCAGAUCAACUGGAACCUAAGGGGUGAUGAUGUUGACCUUUUCUGACCCUCCUGACUUCAAUCAACUAAAGCUUGGACUGCCACUGCUCAAGCCCCUUCAAGAACAUGCACGUACCCUUAGGUUAAAACUUUCCCAAUUUUGCUGUUUGGAAACACUACUUUGAGAAAGAUCCCUGGUGUUCUCUUUACUUGAUACAAGUAAUAAAUCCUUCCUUCUUCUUA